GCGCUUGUAGCUCAACUGGAUAGAGCGUUGGCCUCCGGAGCCAGAGGUUGUGAGUUCAAAUCUCACCAAGCGCA
rnacentral:tRNA from 1 species